rfam:Glycine max cultivar Williams 82 chromosome 15, whole genome shotgun sequence.
GGAGAGAUGGUUGAGUGGACUAAAGCAUCAUCCAUUGUACAAAUUUUAGUACCCAGGGUUCGAAUCCCUCUCUUUCUG